rnacentral:lncRNA from 1 species
AAAAUAAACUAUAGUCCAACCGAGAGCGAUCUUCGGUGAAUGUCAUACAACAUGAGUAGUAUUAUGUUGUGGUCAAGUGCCACCAACAUCUAAGUGAAUUAACCUCAACAACUUUGUGAUUCUUUCUUCUUUCCAAAAGAAUAAAGAUUCGAACAUUUCGCCUCUAUACAAUUUUAAUGAGAAGGUAUUGGAUCCGGAUCUAACAAUCCAAAGCAUCCAUUUUUCACCAACUCAUAACUUAUGUUUUAGAGGUAUCACAAUUCAGUUGGGAUUAGUCACUACCUUGCAACCUUUUGGGUUUUAAGCAUCAUUAUAUUC